rfam:Schistosoma curassoni strain Dakar, Senegal genome assembly, scaffold: SCTD_contig0000015
AUCCAGCUGACGAGUCCUAAAUAAGACGAAAUGCGCUACCUGGAU